CAAGGGCAGCUCCGUAACCUCUGCAAACGUCUGCGUCACUGUGAUUCCGCCCACCUGUGGGAGGAAGGACUGGGGAGACCAAGCUCACUGCCCACCCCCGACCAGGAUCUUCCCCACUGGGGGCCCCAGGGGCACAUAUGCUCCAGGGUGUCGCAUUUUAGGGACGUGCAACUACUUUACUGCUCCCACAGAAGGAAGACUUCCUUGUUGCCCAGCAACAAGCCCAGCCAAUGGAAAAUGCUGCAGCUCAGCCAAUGAGAAGCUGUGGUCACCUGAACUUUUACUUUCCUCCAAUGAACUUUCAUUUUUUCCUUGCUGCUGAGUUCCUGUCUUUGACUCAUCCUCCUUACUAUGAAAGCCUUUCACGCUGUGUACCUUCUCCAAGUAUCUGUCUGCGUGCCAGAUGAGGUGCUGCCUGAUGCAGGAAUCAUUUAAUAAAGCCAAUUAGAUCUUCUGAUUUA